UGUGCCCGUGCGCAUGCGCACUGGGAAAGAAAAUGGACUCAAUGGGAGGACUUGCGCAGAUACCAGGACCCUCUGCUCUGAGCCACAAUGAAGAACUUUCCCAGACUAGGCAAGCCCAGGUACUACUGAAACAAAAGUGAGAGCAGAGCCAUCCCUGUGCCGACAGGAGCUUCUAAAGUUAAUAACAGUGUUGGACAUUGGUGCCAGUUAUAGAUACAGAGGCGUAACAAGUGGAGAAGAGGAAGGAUAUGCUUUUAUCAGUGCCCACCAUGUGCCAGAUAAAAUGAAUUGGCUCAUUGGAAAUAUGCUAAUGACCCUGCCAGACUCCAGCAUGAUGAGCAAUUUGGAACGCUGCCCUCUUGCCCACUGUGAUGGAGUGACUAUGCGGUCAGAGGUGUGGAGAGAAGAGAGGGCACAGGAGGACCAGUGAGGAGAGAGG
rnacentral:lncRNA from 1 species